rnacentral:rRNA from 1 species
CCUACGGGAGGCUGCAGUGGGGAAUAUUGGGCAAUGGGCGCAAGCCUGACCCAGCAACGCCGCGUGAAGGAAGAAGGCUUUCGGGUUGUAAACUUCUUUUAAGAGGGAAGAGCAGAAGACGGUACCUCUUGAAUAAGCCACGGCUAACUACGUGCCAGCAGCCGCGGUAAUACGUAGGUGGGAAGCGUUGUCCGGAUUUACUGGGUGUAAAGGGCGUGUAGGCGGGCUGACAAGUCAGAUGGGAAUUCCCGUGGCUCAACCACGGAACUGCAUUUGAAACUGUCGGUCUUGAGUAUCGGAGAGGCAGGCGGAAUUCGUAGUGUAGCGGUGAAAUGCGUAGAUAUUAGGAGGAACACCAGUGGCGAAGGCGGCCUGCUGGACGACAACUGACGGUGAGGCGCGAAAGCGUGGGGAGCAAACAGGAUUAGAUACCCGAGUAGUC